AUGGGGAUUUGGGGGCGUCACACUUCCGCUCCUCCUCCUCCUCCUCCUCCCUCCUCUGACUCCUACUCCUACUCUAACUCUAAUUCAUACUCCUACAUUUACGCCUUCUUUUCAUCUCCAUCUCAUCCUUCCUCUACUUCUCACGACGACGACUCCACUCAUUCUCCUACUCCUACUCCAACUCCCUACUCUCAUUAUUUCACAUUCUCAUCCUCCUCUUCAUUUUACUUUGGUUUUGGGUGAGUGUGGGUGCAUGUGCAGGAGUGUGUAUUCAUGUGCAUGUGAGUGGGUGGGUGAAUGUGUGUGCUUAUUUGUGUGUGCACGUGGGUUGUGUGCUUGUGUGUGAUAUUUGAUGGAAAUCGUAUAUAUAUAGGAGGAACUCAAAUUGGACAUCUACAAGUUCUACAAGCAUGCAAAGACAAUAAUGACAAGGAACAUAUUUUUUGGCCUUCGUGGUAUAAUUUUGCUAAAGUGGUCGAAUUUGACAUUCUGAUGGCUUCUUCAAUAAGGAGGAACUUAACUUGGACAUCUACCAGUUCUACAACCAUGCAAAGGUAUUGUACCUUACUUUUUUCCAGUCUUUUCUCAUUUUCUCUUUUAUUUAUCUUUAUUUGUGAUUUUAUUUGGUUCAAACUUUAUCUUGAAGGAACUCCAAUUAGGUUUUUUUUUUUUUUAAUACAACUAAUACUCUACAAGGCAAUUGUCUUUUUAUUUGUUUUUCUCCAUCACAGAUAAUAAUGACAAGGAACAUAUUUUUUGGCCUUUGUUCUAUCGUAUAAGGUAUAAUUUUUCUAGAGUAGUUACGUCCAACAUUCUAAUGGCUUCUUCAAUAAGGUAUAAUUUAUUUAUCAAUGUUAUUUUUGAAAUAAUGCUCUUUUUUGGUAUAAUGUAGUCUGCUUCAAUAAUUUUUCAUUUAAUAGGAAAUAUUUAUAUUUAUGUUAUUAAUCUAAAAAUUCUAAUUUUUUCUUCAUUUUUCUCAACUUCUCCCAUUCUCUGCUGCCAACGUCAUCAUUUUCUUCAUCUUCUCCUUCCUCUACUUCUACUCUUUUCUCUCCUCCUCCUCGUCCUCCUCUUCCUCAUCCUCUGACUCCUACUCCGACUUUGACUCUGACUCCGACACCUUCUUUUACGCCUUCUCAUCAUCUUCUUCUCAUCCUUCCUCUACUCUUCCACCUUUGACUCAUUUCCUACUCCAAUCCCUAAUCUCAUGUCUUUGCAUUUCCAUCCUCCUCUUCAUUUCGCUUUUGUUUUGGGUGGGUGUGGGUGUAGGAGCAUGUGCAAGGGUGUGUGUUCAUGUGCGUGUGAGUGGGUGGGUGAGUGUGCAUUUUUAUUCAAGUGUGCGUGUGGGUUGUGUGCUUGUGUGUGGUAUUCAAUUGAAAUUGUAUGUUGUAGGAACUCAGCUUGGACAUAGAUACAACAAGUUCUACAAGCAUGCAAAGGUAUUGUGCCAAUCUUUUUACUAGCCUUUUCUCAUUUUCUCAUUCUAUUUUUCUUUAUUUGUGGUAUUUAUUCAGUUGAAACUUUAUCUGGGAGGAACUCCAAUUAGGUGCUAUUUUUUAUACAAGUAAUACACUACAAGGAAAAAAAAAAAUUUCUCCAUUAUAGACAAUAAUGACAAGGAACAUAUUUUUUGGCCUUUGUUCCAUCAUAAGAAGGUGCAUGAAUUUUGCUAGAGUGGCUAAGUCCAACAUUCUGAUGGCUUCUUCAAUAAGGUAUAAUUUAUGUAUCAAUGUUAUUUUUGAAAUUGUGUUUUUUUUUUUAGUAUAACAUAGUCUGCUUCAAUAAUUUUUCAUUUACUAGGAAAUAUUUAUAUUUAUGUUCAUUUUUAGUUUUCUAAAAAUUCUAAUUUUUUCUUCAUUUCUCUCAUCUUCUCCCAUUCUCCACUGCCGCUGUCGUCAUCGUCAUCGUCGUCAUCUUCUCCUUAUACUCCUUCCUUUGCUUCUUCUCUUUCCGCUCCUACUCCUACUCCUACUCCUACUCCUACUCCUCCUCCUCCAACUCCUACUCCAACUCCUACUACUACGCCUUCUCUUCAUCUUCUUCUCAUCCUUCCUUUACUUCUGCUCCAACUCCUCUCCUAAUCCUACUCCUACUCCUACUCCUACUCCAAGUCCGUACUCUCUGCUAUUAAUUUUCCUUUGGUUUUGGGUGGGUGUUCAUAUCUGUGUGAGUGGGUGUGUAAGUGUGCGUGCUAAUUAACGUGUGCACAUGGGUAGUGUGCUUGUGUAUGGUAUUCGAUUGAAAUUGUAUGUAGGAGGAACUCAGCUUGGAUAUCUACUAGUUUUACAACCAUACAAAGGUAUUGUGCCUUACUUUCUACUAGUCUUUUCUAAUUUUCAUAUUCUAUUUAUCAUUAUUUGUGAUAUUUAUUCUGUUUAAACUUUAUCCAAUUAAGUGUUUUUCUUAAUACAAGUAAUACUCUACAAGGCAAUUUCUUCUUCUUCUUCUUCUUUUCUCUAGUAUCAAAAAUAAUGACAAGGAACAUAUUUUUUGGCCUUUGUUCCAUCAUAUAAGAUGGUGCUUGAAUUUUGCGAGAGUAGUCGCGUUUAACAUUUUGAUGGCUUCUUCAAUAAGGUAUAAUAUAUUUAUCAAUGUUAUUUUUGAAAUUAUGUUCUUUUUUGGUGUGACGUAGCUUGCUUCAAUAAUUUUUCAUUUACUCCUCCUCCGACUCCUUUCCUACUCCAACUCCCUAAUCUCAUUUCUUCGCAUUCUCAUCCUCCUCUUCAUUUCACUUUGGUUUUGGGUGGGUGUGGCUAUGGGAUCAUGUGCAAGUGCGUGUUCAUGUGCGUGUGAGUGGGUGGGUGAGUGUGCAUUUUUAUUCAAGUGUGCGUGUGGGUUGUGUGCUUGUGUGUGGUAUUCAAUUGAAAUUGUAUGUAGGAGGAGCUCAACUUGGACAUCUACAAGUUCUACAACCAUGCAAAGGUAUUGAUUGUGCCUUACUUUUUAUCAGACUUUUCUCAUUUUCUCUUUCUAUUUAUCUUUAUUUGAGAUAUUUAUUAGAUUGAAACUUGAACUUGGAGGAACUCCAAUUAAGUGUUUUUCUUAAUACAAG